rnacentral:sRNA from 12 species
AUAUGAGGUUCACUUAGAGCCUCGCCAAUCUGGGGAGAUUAGGCAUCCAUUUGGGUAGCAACAGCACCCUUCUGGAGAGACGGCAUCCAGAGGCCGGGUCAUCAGCCCCGGUCGGAACCGUUUC